CCAGCCCCAGCCUCGCCAAUCCAGCUGCCCCAGGCUGGAGGAGAUCCUGUCAAGCCUCCUCUCUGAAACUCCACUCCUCCUCUUUUUUUUCUUCCUCAACCACUGGCAUACUUUUGGUCAUCCUACUUUUCAUCCCAAUGGGGCACCUGAUACCAUAAAGACCUGGGAACCCCACUGAUCACAGGUCCUACAGGGGUCAGGCAAACAUACAGGAAGUCCAGAAGGACAGUCAUCUGCCACCUCCAGUAUGAGAAGAACAAAACCCCCGCACUCCAUGAAGAAGUCAGGAACCCAGUGAAGGCUGCAGGUCCAGCCCACAACAACCUAUGUAUGUGGGGUGCUCCAUGGCUCAUACGUGUGUCCUGCAGGCUGGAGCCCAAGCGAGGGUUCGCAGUCUUUGUUCCAGAUGGGGAACUACUACUUCAGCUUAUUACCCAGGCUCCCUGAUGGGGAAAGGAAGGAAAUGGCGAGAAUCUUCAGCACAGCAAAUCCCAUCGUCCUGGCAGAGACAACUCCUGCCUGCAUGCCACACCAGCAGCCGCAGGCUAGAGGCAGUCACAUCAGGCCUCCCUCUUACAACAUUUUGUUUUGUUUUGUUUUUCGAAAGGCCCUAAUCACCUACUUUCGGUCAUCCUCCUUGUCACAAUAGGGCACCUGACGCCAUAGAGACUCGAGAAAUGUACAGAUCUGGGGUCCUGAAGCGUCCAGGCGAAGGUGCUGGGAGUCAGGGAGGAAAGUCCUUUGAAGCCUCCAGAAGCAAUGUAACAAGACCCAGCACUGCAGGAAGAAGUGGGGCACCCAGUGGCAAAUGCAGGCCUACGUGCAAGGUGCUCCCUGUCCCUCGCCUGCUCCCUGGAACCUGGAGCCGCACCUAGGAUGGGGGGUCUCCAUUCCAGACCCAGAAUAAGCUCUUGGCUACCUCACCCAGCACCUGGUCAUGCCAGACAGAAUCUUGGCUGGGGCUUUCUCAUGGUCUGCAGUGCCUUCCACUUUGGGCCACCGUAAUAACACUUCUCCCACAGGGACUCUGCAGUGUCCGGCUCACCAGCCUGGAGUUUCUCAUCACCCAGUGAUUCCAAAAGAAACAAUCUACAAUGGCAUGACCAAGUGCCAGAAACAAACAAACAAAAUAUCUGAGGAGCUGUCAGAAUCCUGCCCUUCCGUCUCCAGAUCAAAGUCCUUCAGGAAAUGCAACUACUUCAGUGACAAGAGAUAAUUAUCAUCUUCUGACAGAGGAGGAAUUUGGGGUUUGGUCCCAGUCCAUGAAGUGGCACAGUCAGAAUAAAAGCUAAGCCCCCAUCCCAGUAGGCCAGCAACACACUCAAGACCAAGAACAGGCCAUGGUGAAUCUCAGGGCCACUGAGUGCCUGGGCUGGCAGGGGCAGAGUUCCUCAGGGCUCAGUGACAUUUGGACUGAGCAUGGGCUUUGGAGUCAUACAGCUACACUGAGCUCCCAGCUUCACCGUGAUCAGCCCUGUGUCUGGGACAGGGGCCUCACUGUUCUGGAACUUGAGACGCCAUAGUCAUAAAUUUAACACACACUUCUAACUGCUUUUUCUUUUUUAUCUGUCUUUCUCUAUAAUCACCAUGUACUACUGGUCUCUUGUGUUUAUUUAAAUUAAUAAACAUGUUACACAGUGUGUAUUAUUCUUCCUCAUGAGUUCUUUACUAUAUUCUAUGAUUCCACCCAUAUGAGGUACUUAUGUAAUUUCAUUCAUAGAAACUCAAAGUAGAAAAGCAGUUAGUUCUUAGAGGACAAAAGGAAGGUAAAG
rnacentral:lncRNA from 10 species